rnacentral:rRNA from 1 species
GUGAAAAGGCUUAAAUGAUCUUGGGGGACGAUAAGACCCUAUAAAACUUUACAGUUUCACUUUUGCUUUUGUGAAUUAAGGUUUAAAAUUAGACAUGAGUGGUCUGUUGUGUUGGGGCGACAAAGAUAAAAAAAGUAACUGUCAGGAAAAAAAAAUAAAAAUAAUUAUAGUAGUUGAUCCUUUUGGUUAGAGAUUAAAAGAUUAAGUUACUUUAGGGAUAACAGCGUAAUUCUCUUUGAGAGUUUUUAUCGACAAGAGUAGUUGCGACCUCGAUGUUGAAUUAAGGGUUCUUUUCAGGGUAGC